AUGGAGACAGAGAUAGAAAGGGAGAAGAUGGAGAGGGGCAAGUCUGAGCUGAGGGUGGCCAUGGAGGAGCUCUGCUUGCUCAGCCCAGGAGAUGGUGAAGAACAGGAGCAGGAGCAGCAACUUAGGUCAUCCACCAUGGAUCUCCUCUGUGUCUCCAAGCAGCUUCUGCAUGUCCUUGAUGAGAUUGGGCCAACGUUACUAGUCCUCAGGCAAGACAUUCAGCAAAAUGUUCAGAGACUACAAGAUCUCCAUGCAAGAGACUCCUCGAAAUAUGCGACUUUGACCGCGAUUGUGAUAGAGGAAGUGGAGGAGGGGACCUCAAAGAAGACCAACAGUUGCACCAGGGCUAUUAUCUGGCUGGCUAGGUCGAUAAAUUUCUCAGUACAUUUGCUGGAGAGAUUAAUGAAGAACCCAGAUUCAAGCCUGAAAAAGAUGGUGGAAGAAGCAUACAACAGCACCCUGAAGCCAUUCCAUGGAUGGAUCUCAUCAGCUGCUUACAGGGUAGCAUUGGGUCUCAUUCCGGAAAGAGAGAUCUUUAUUCAGCUGCUGAUGGGGAACUGCCAGGAUCCUGAGGAUUUUGGAGGAGAUGUCAUGAUCUUGGUCUCCAUUGUACAGCCUCUGCUAGAAGAGAUCAAUGCCAUUUUGGUCAAACACCAGCUGGACAGGCUCAAAUCCACCUGA
rnacentral:rRNA from 1 species